rnacentral:rRNA from 1 species
AGCGAACGCUGGCGGCAGGCCUAACACAUGCAAGUCGAACGGGCUCUUCGGAGCUAGUGGCGGACGGGUGAGUAACACGUGGGAACGUGCCUUUAGGUUCGGAAUAAGCCCGGGAAACUGGGUCUAAUACCGAAUGUGCCCUUCGGGGGAAAGAUUUAUCGCCUUUAGAGCGGCCCGCGUCUGAUUAGCUUGUUGGUGAGGUAAUGGCUCACCAAGGCGACGAUCAGUAGCUGGUCUGAGAGGAUGACCAGCCACAUUGGGACUGAGACACGGCCCAAACUCCUACGGGAGGCAGCAGUGGGGAAUCUUGCGCAAUGGGCGAAAGCCUGACGCAGCCAUGCCGCGUGGAUGAUGAAGGUCUUAGGAUUGUAAAAUCCCUUCACCGGUGAAGAUAAUGACUGUAGCCGGAGAAGAAGCCCCGGCUAACUUCGUGCCAGCCGCCGCAGUAAGAC